AUUGAACGCUGGCGGCAUGCCUUACACAUGCAAGUCGAACGGCAGCACGGGUGCUUGCCCCUGGUGGCGAGUGGCGAACGGGUGAGUAAUACAUCGGGACAUGUCCUGUAGUGGGGGAUAGCCCGGCGGAAGCCGGAUUAAUACCGCAUACGAUCUACUGAUGAAAGCGGGGGACCUUCGGGCCUCGCGCUAUGGGGUUGGCCGAUGGCUGAUUAGCUAGUUGGUGGGGUAAAGGCCUACCAAGGCGACGAUCAGUAGCUGGUCUGAGAGGACGACCAGCCACACUGGGACUGAGACACGGCCCAGACUCCUACGGGAGGCAGCAGUGGGGAAUUUUGGACAAUGGGCGAAAGCCUGAUCCAGCAAUGCCGCGUGUGUGAAGAAGGCCUUCGGGUUGUAAAGCACUUUUGUCCGGAAAGAAAUCCUUGGCUCUAAUACAGGCGGGGGAUGACGGUACCGGAAGAAUAAGCACCGGCUAACUACGUG
rnacentral:rRNA from 1 species